rnacentral:lncRNA from 1 species
GUUUUGGAAGAGAGCUAGCUACACUUGAAUAACUGUAAUUUCAAGUGCAUCAACUACCUUAAUGCUUAUUUUACCUUUGUCAUAACGAUAGUCCAACAGUAAUGGUGAAUUAUUCCGAAGAUACUUCUGUCACUUCAUUACUAUUCAGUGUCAGUUGACAUUUGCAUAGGCUGCUACUGUUGACUACAGUGAAUGGCAAAUAGCCCUCGGGUAUUGACAAGGUACACGUCAAGUCGACAAAAAUGGGUGAAUGGUUCUCAUAAUGCUGUACAUUUUAGAAUUUGAACGGUUUACAUGCUACAAUCAGUGCACGCCACCGCAACAAACGCUCUGUACUGAGCUGGUGUCGCAUUUCUCCAGUCUCCCAAUGGCUGGAGGGCAUGUCCAGAUAAAAGGUCAAACUGAGUACGAAUGUUUAGCCCUGCUUCUCAGAAAAUGUUAAGGAGUUACAGCAGUCCAAUUUCAAGUUUCAAGUUGUAAUGUCACGUGCACAAUUGCCUUUCUUGCAAGUGCUAAAUCCAACAAUGAAAUAAUCAAUAAUGUAAUACUAAAAAUAACAAAGUCGAAAUUAAACACACGAGAAAUAAGAAGAACACGAGAAAGUAAGCAUACUAUAUUCAGAGUCAGUUCCAGUACCAUAUUUACAAUGUGCAGGGAUACUGGAGUGAUGGAGGUAGAUAUGUAUAGGGGUAAGGUGACUAGGCAUCAGGAUUUAUAAUAAACAGUAGCAGCAGAGUAUAUGAUGAUUGUAUGUGAGUGGGUGUGCGUGUAGAGUCAGAAUAAAUGUAAGUGCAUAUUAUAUGUGUGAGUGUUUGUGUGUGUGUGUGUGUGUGGUGAAGUGUCAGUGUGUGUGAGUGUGUAGGGCCCUGUGAGUGUGCAUAGAGACAGUGUAAAAAAUAAAUACAAGGGUCAAAUCAGAUAGUCUGUAGCCAUUUUGUAAUCGAUUAGGUUAGCUAUUUAGCAGGUCUUAUGGCUUGGGAUAGAAGCUGUACGGGAGCCUGUUGGUGUCAGACUUGAUGCACUGGUACCGCUUGCCGUGCACAAGCAGAGAGAACAGUCUAUGGAUCGAGUAAACUAAGAUCAUUGCUUCAAUAGUAAUACAAUAUGACUGGAGAAAUACCCUACUAAACUAAACCAUGUUUUCUGGUGUAUUUCUCAUUAGAUGGUGUCUUCUGUAUUGAAUUGUAUUCUAUGGUAUAUUGUCUUAUUACAUGCUUAUAGAUCAUUUUUUCUCCCAGUGGUGAAACAGAAUGGAAUAGAAAAUACCUUCUACAAGGUGUAAUUUACUAUAAAAGUACAUCUGGUGAUACUGUUUUCAUACCGUUUUGGAUACAUUAGAGAGCCUUGGAUGAAACAGCACAAAGUAGAAGUUUAGGAACAGAUAAUUCCAAUAGAUUUCCUAGAUGUCAUGUUUCAAUGGCAUAUCACUAACACUGUGAGGUUUACAGUAUCACUCCAAUCCUGGGAAUUUCCCAAUCCCCCAG